rnacentral:rRNA from 1 species
AUACGUAGGGAGCGAGCGUUAUCCGGAUUUACUGGGCGUAAAGGGCGUGUAGGCGGUCUUGCAAGUCAGAAGUGAAAUUCCUGAGCUCAACUCGGGCGCUGCUUCUGAAACUGCAGGACUUGAGUGCUGGAGGGGAUAGCGGAAUUCCUAGUGGAGCGGUAAAAUGCGCAGAUAUUAGGAAGAACACCGGUGGCGAAGGCGGCUAUCUGGACAGUAACUGACGCUGAGGCGCGAAAGCGGGGGGAGCAAACAGGAUUAGAUACCCUGGUAGUCCACGCUGUAAACGAUGAAUACUAGGUGUAGGGGGUAUCGACUCCCUCUGUGCCGCAGUUAACACAAUAAGUAUUCCGCCUGGGGAGUACGGCCGCAAGGUUGAAACUCAAAUGAAUUGACGGGG